rnacentral:rRNA from 1 species
ACUACGGGCGGCAGCAGUGGGGAAUAUUGGACAAUGGGCGAAAGCCUGAUCCAGCCAUGCCGCGUGUGUGAAGAAGGCCUUCGGGUUGUAAAGCACUUUCAGUGGGGAAGAAAGCCUUGGGGCUAAUACCCUCGAGGAAGGACAUCACCCACAGAAGAAGCACCGGCUAACUCCAUGCCAGCAGCCGCGGUAAUACGGAGGGUGCGAGCGUUAAUCGGAAUUACUGGGCGUAAAGCGCGCGUAGGCGGUCUGAUAAGCCGGUUGUGAAAGCCCCGGGCUCAACCUGGGAACGGCAUCCGGAACUGUCAGGCUAGAGUGCAGGAGAGGAAGGUAGAAUUCCCGGUGUAGCGGUGAAAUGCGUAGAGAUCGGGAGGAAUACCAGUGGCGAAGGCGGCCUUCUGGACUGACACUGACGCUGAGGUGCGAAAGCGUGGGUAGCAAACAGGAUUAGAUACCCUAGUAGUC